UGCAGUCGAGGGGUAGAGUUUCUUCGGAAAUUUGAGACCGGCGCACGGGUGCGUAACGCGUAUGCAAUCUACCCUUUACUGGGGAAUAGCCCGGAGAAAUUCGGAUUAAUGCCCCAUAUGCCCACGGAAUCGCAUGGUUCAGUGGGGAAAGUUCCGACGGUAAAGGAUGAGCAUGCGUCCCAUUAGCUAGUUGGGGAGGGAGCGGCUCACCAAGGCGACGAUGGGUAGGGGGCCUGAGAGGGUGAUCCCCCACACUGGUACUGAGACACGGACCAGACUCCUACGGGAGGCAGCAGUGAGGAAUAUUGGGCAAUGGAGGCAACUCUGACCCAGCUAUGCCGCGUGCAGGAAGACGGCCCUCUGGGUUGUAAACUGCUUUUGUUUGGGAAUAAACCCUCCUACGUGUAGGAGGCGGGGAGGUACCUUACGAAUAAGCAUCGGCUAACUCCGUGCCAGCAGCCGCGGUAAUACGGAGGAUGCAAGCGUUAUCCGGAUUUAUUGGGUUUAAAGGGUCCGUAGGCGGGUCUUUAAGUCAGUGGCGAAAGCCCACAGCCCAACUGUGGAACUGCCAUUGAUACUGGAGAUCUUGAGUGUAGUAGAAGUAGGCGGAAUAGGGCAUGUAGCGGUGAAAUGCAUAGAUAUGCCCUAGAACACCGAUUGCGAAAGCAGCUUACUAUGUUACAACUGACGCUGAGGGACG
rnacentral:rRNA from 1 species